rnacentral:misc_RNA from 1 species
AAAAAGUCCCGGUUGAAUCCCUUAAUGAUCUAUUCUCUCGUUUUUUGAAUAGAAAUUCAAAAUUCGUUAUGUUUGUUAUGGAUUCUACGCAUAAAUUUUUUUCUAUUGUGGGUGAUAUAUGAUACACAUACAAAAGAACAUCCUUUAACGUAGAAUUCCUGUUUCCUUUUUUUAUUUUAUGAUUCACAUUUUUGAAUUGACAUAGGACUAAGUCAUCUAGUAAAAUGUAAAAUGAAGAUGAU